AUAGAUGCUAAUCGACAGUUUCUAUCACAGAGAAGCCUUCUGGCCAACAAUAGGCUAUUAGUAGCUAUGUUUUUAGGGGAUCAAAAGUUGUACACGGAUUUUUGACUGCACAGGGCGAUCAGCACACCUGACCCCCCAUUGUUCAAGGGUCAGCUGUAAAAGAGAGCUAUGGAAAGCAGAGGAAAGAAUUGUAUCAGAACGCCAGGUUGAGGCUGGUUAUUAAAACUUAGCUCUGAGUUGCCUGGCUGCUUCUACUUUGAAAUAAAGAGAAGCCUUCUCAGCCUUUUGAGCAGAGGUUUCCUGUGGUGCAGGGGGUUUUGUAAGGCGGUUGAGUCUUGCACUCCUGGAUGGGGAAGAAAUAAGUUCAUUAAGGAAGCCAUUGCAGGAACCCAGGUAGGAAGUGUUAAAGGAUGAUGGCAGUGGAAAGGGAGUCAGGGAACAGAUAUGGAAGAGAAUUCAAAGGAGCUAAAGAGGACUUGACAAGAAAGAACUAUGGGGAUAAAGGAAAUGCAGAUGUCAGAUAUUACUGAAGCUUCACAUCCAAGCAAUUAUAGUAGUUGCUUCCUUCAGAUGUCUGCUACUAAAAUGCUGUGUAACAAACAAUGCCAUAAUCUCAGUGCAUUACAACAAUAGGCAUUUACUUAUUGCUUAUGGGCGUGCAGGGGGCUAUGACUCUCCUGGGUGAAUGAAACUAGCAAAGUGUGGCUCCAAGCUGCCAGUUGUAUUCAGGUCUGUUCCAAGUGUCUCCUCAUUCCGAGAGGCUAUCCAGGCAACUUCAUCUUGUGACAGGUGGCAGAAAUGCAAGAGACUAAGCCAAGCCAUGAAGGCAUAUUUAAAACCCCUGCUCACAUCACUUCCACUAAUUUCUAUUAGCCAAAGCAAGUCAUGUGGCUAAGUCCAAAGACAAUGGGGCACGGAACUAUCAGUCAACUCUUCUGGUGCUGGAAGUGUCACAUGAUGGGAGGAACAAAGACUAAGGACCAAUAACCCAAUCUGCCAUCACAACUAAAAUAAGAGUGAUACCCCGACAUGGAAAUUCGCAGUAGGGCAUUAGGUUUCUUACCACAAGGCACACCUGGGCUAUGACAGACAUCUGACCAGCCGAUGGGUUUUUUUCCCCCUGCAUUUUUCAUCUUUCCCUCAUCCCCUCACACACUACAGAUAGGGUCCUGCUGUCUGUCCUACAGUCACUCCUGAGAUCAGCCUUGCAACGGACAUUAGUGGCUCGGCCAUCAUAACAGCUAUCAAUAUUGGACCUGCUACUAGAAAUAAAAGACUAGAAGAAAAUAGGCCAAGAAGGUAUUACUAUGGUGGGACUCCUGGCUAUUUUAGGUCUUUGCGGAUUUUCCAGACCUUCUUCGAUGACCGUAUACAAAUUUUAUAAUUUCAAGAAUUCUUUUAAAUGAUUUUUGAAAAAAAAAUAUCUUGUCAUCGGCUCAAUUCUAUUGCCGUCCUUUGCCAGUAAAUAUCUAAAGAAAAAGUCUAUGUGAAGCAUUAGCACAGUGCACCUGCCAAGCCAGGCCUUCCUUGUAGGAACACACUCAUCAACUAACACAAGGGUAGUCAGUGUCAUUCUAAUACUAAUUUCUCAGACAUGGUUUGAGCAUUCUCCUCCCCCCCUAAAUUUGGGGGCGGUGGGCAGGGAGAUUUUUAGAUGGAAUCCAAAAGAGCCAACAGAGAGUUUCCUUUUUUUUGCCUCUCUUUCUUCCUUUAGUUGCUGUUUUGGCCAUCUCAGAACAAAGUCAGGCAGGAAGUCGGCACAAGAUACCUACCAGCUAUGGACUUUGUCAGUUUUCCAAAUGCUCUUCUGCCCCAGGGAUGCACAGACCCUCAGGCAAAACCACCCCUGCAAAGAAUGCUCUGCUGGGAUCACUUCCGCCAGCCAAAGCCCCAUUCUCUCAGGCACAGGGGAGCAGGUUUUGACUCAAAGGAGCCCUGGAGCCACUGACAUAAACCCUGCUGUGACCUUGCCCCCACCCACCACCCUCUCCUUUCUCAUAACUAACCUCCCAUAAGACUCCCAGAGCCAUUGACCUCCUCUUCCUCACUUCUCCGCAGGCAGCCUGGCUUAUUCCUCCCACCUCUCCCUCUAGGGAUCCUACCCUAUGGGUCAUCAACAAACUUCUUGUCAAGUUCAAAGGGCACUGGCCUUUGUACGUGAAAUCCUCAACUGUUCAUUCUUCAAACUUUUCUUCCCUUGGUUUCUAUGAAAUCAAGCCUCUCCUAGUUCUCCUGGUCUCUCUCUGAACAUUCAAGUUCUUGUUUCUUCCUCCUCGCAGCCUUUGCUUGUUGUCCGUGACGUCUCCCUCCGCCCACCGGUGUUCUCUCCCCCACACCCUCUCGGCACUGAUUCUUUCUUAGUGUCAGCCAUGAUUUCCAUGAUCUACAUGCCGAUAACUCCAGCCCAGACGUUUCCCCUCUGACUUCUAUUUCCUGGAGGUGCUGGUCCUCACAUGGGUGUCGCGAGGGCCUGAGAUCCGCCAGGUCCAGGGCUGAAUUCAUCUCCCCAUCAGGGCUCUUUGGCUGCAAGCAACAGGGACUGACCCUGAGUUGCCGGUGCACGGAAGAGACUAAUUGGAAGGAUUGCAAGAUGGUUCCUAGAAUCAAGGGAAUCACUGGACAGCCUGGCGUCUGGUAGCCUGAACAAGGCCACUGCCCAGAUUCAAGCUCCCGGGAGCAAAUUUGACACACCCAGCUCAGAUCAUGGCCCCACUCCUUGGGGUCUGUAAUCAAAAUAAAGUGGAAUGAGAGACGCAAAAGGUCUCAGACAAGACAGCAGCCACCAAGCCUUCCAAGUUUGUUUUUCUUCUGGACCAGAAGGGAGUCUCCCUCUCUCUCUGUCUCUCUCUGUCUCUCCCUCUCUCCCUCUCUCCCCCCUUCCCCCAACUCAGGUAUCUCAACACCAGUCAGUCAUUACAUUCUGAGAUUUUUAAAGUAGUUCUCCAAACGAUGGCCUUCUCCAUCCCUUGGACCUCUGACCUCCUUUGGAGUCUUAUGAUCUCUUGGCUUGAUGACUACUGGUGGCCUCCUAAAAAGUCUCUGCUCCCUCUCUUGUCCACCUCAAGUUUGUCCUCCACGUGAUAGCCAGAGUGAUCUAUCUAAAUCCAGAGCUAGCCACGUGACUUCCCUGUUUGAGUUCCUUAACCUAGAGGGUGAGCUAUGGGACUGGCAGCCCACAUUUCUUGUUACCAAAUAAAAUUCUGCGGGGACCUGGCCCCUACCCACAACCCCUUUGCUGCAACCUGGUUUUUGUCUGUUUGUCUGUCUGUCUGUUUUUGCUUCUGGCACUCCCUCUUCCUGCGUGGCUUUCUUCUCCCCCUACCACUGUACCCCAACCUGGCCGUUACCAGUUUACCUUUAAAAAUCGAAUGAGGCUUCACGUCCUCAAGGCUGCCCUCCCUAAGCCUUUCCUGACAUUUCAUGAGGGGUUGAGGAUCCCUCCUGAGUGUUUCCAUAAUGCCCUGAGCAUAUCUCUAUGAUCACCACACACAACCCACUGUUUGAGGAGUAUCUAUUCAGGUGCCUAUCUCUCCUACUAUCUACACAUUCUUGAAAAGCAGGGAUAAGACAAGGCAUACAUACAGUAGGUGCUUAAUAAACGGUGGGGUUUUUUUUUUUGAAUGGUCACUGACUUUGGUAAAUCAUGUAACAUCUUCUGGGUUUCAGCUUCCUCACUGCAAAAAGGAGAUAGGUCGACCUCUCCCGUGUUGUGCAAUUAAGUGAGAUGAUCUAAAUGGAACGCCUUGCAUGGUGCCUGGCACGUGAAACCGCGUUCCAAGAUCAGGGAGGCAAGUGUCAGAAGGAGAAAACGGCCAGCGUCUCGAGCUCAGAAGAGAACAAGCCCCUGCUAUUUCCUCCACGACGACGGCAACAGUUGCCCCGGCCGCGACGGAGCUGGCUUCCCCUGCCCUUGGGUACCACACGACGUCCCGCACCCCCGUCAUCUUUCUGUGGGAUUUCUCUCCACACGCUCCACGGAGGAGCCGGGUUCAGGUUACAUCGCAUCUUGUCAAUUCCACCAGACUGGCUGGCGUGCUUUCUUUCCCCGAGGCAAAAACAAAGUCUAGAUGAUGGAAACAGACCCGGAAGAGUCGGCAGGCAGCAAAAGGCAAGGCCUGGGAGGGAUGCUGGCCCAACCGUGCUAGGUUGGUUCCGAGGACUCGCUUCGGGACCCCUGCCUCAAAGAGCAAAGCGUAUUCUGGGAGAAGAAGCAGACAGCUUCCCGCACGUCACUAACCUUACGGAGCACCGCAGGGCAAAGACCGAGGAGACCAAAAUCUCUGGACACCCCAUGUUCUGGCUGGCGGCACACCAUCUGGUUAGCCAAGGACCUUCUUAAGCCAGGCCCCUGAAACUGAGCGUGGAACUUCCAGCAAGCUCUGGCCAAGCCGGGACCUGGCCUGAGGCCUGCAGACCCAGCACAGCCUCACACGUAGUUGAAGACCCGAGGAAUGGAUUCCACCAACAUCCAGAUGGGCAGUGAGGGGUGCCAAGAGGAAGCCACACUGCAUCUUUUGGCAAUCAGUAGACCCGGACAGAUCACUCUUCGUUGCAGGUUCAACAGGCAAGUUACGGGCUGAGGAGACGAUGUCUGUGGGCCUGCAACCAUCGGCGAGUUUGAGGAUGGCCGGCCUGAGGAAGAGGCCACCACGGCGAGCGGAGGGGACAGGUGGCGAGAACUGGGGUGUCCGGUGGCUCAGAAUGAGCCCCUCCGUCAGCCAACCUCCAUUCUACCCCAUCUCCGUUCCUUCGAUAUGUUAAAUAAUUGUGCAAGCCGGUGCAGUUGGGCCUUUUCUCUUACGACAACCAAAAGCGUCUUCCUGAUAAGUGUUCAUAUUCUGGCUGUUGGGAGGUCCCCUUUCUGGGCUUUAUGUAGAGAAUUUGCCCCCUUUCUUGGUUCUACCUUGAAGUGUGGUGGUUAAGGAAGUCUCUGGGUUCACAUUCCACCUCUGUUUUUAUAGGCUGUGUCCAUUUAGGCAAAUCACUUCAUCUUUUGAGGUCUCAUGUCCUCAUCUGUCAAAUGGGGGCCAUAAUAGUUUUCUGACUCUGGGGACAUGGGGAUUAAAUUAAAUGAGUUAAUGUAAGAGAA